GAGAACCAAGAUAUCCAUUGUUAACAGUUGUUCGGUUUUUUUACCCAAUGUAUUACAUUGAGCUUCACAUUAAACUGUGGGGUUAUUAGGGGGCAUGGGGACCCUUUGGCAAAGCUCCUGCCCGAGUGUACGGUCUACAGGAAUCGUAGAAGCGCUAUCCUUGCACAAUCAAUGACACUUUCCGACACUGACUGCUUGGGGAAACAUUGCCUAUAGAACUACCGCUCGAUUGUAACUGUUCCAAUGUUCGCACGUAGCCAGAGGUCUCUGAACCACUACAACUUUCCGGGCUAUGAUUUAUCAGAGAUUGCGAACUACGUGGGUUACAAGAGGUUUCCGUAGGUGAACCUGCGGAAGGAUCAUUAACACGUAUCCAAACGUUAAAACCCCCCCCGUGAACCUUCAUCCU
rnacentral:misc_RNA from 1 species